AGCCCAUCGCGUGUGACAGACAAGAAAGUGCUACCGUUAAAAGGCAAACAGUUCUAGAGCCUCCAGCAGCAGCCGCCUUAUAGACACUGCUUAGCCCGGUCCUGCACUUGCUCAGGUCCGGUCUCUGUAACAGAACACACGCGCAUCUCGUGAUGGUGCUUCUCUGAUGGAGCCUUAGCCGAUGCGCAGAAGUAGACAACUGUGUUGGGGCGGAGGAGGUGCCCUGAACUCCAGCUCAGCCCUCCUCCUCCCAAGCCCUUCCAUCCUAGGAUCAACAGGAGCCUGUGACUGACUACAGCAGGAGAGCAGGCGUGGCAUGGAUCCCGUGCAAGCCGGCAGUGGAGACCCAGCGCCUGAGAGUGACGUGGGGAACUAGCAGGAGCUAGAAGUGACUUAGGACGAGCUUUUGUAAAGCUGAGGUGUGAGUAUAAUAUCAGGAUGAUUUGACUGCAAGCAACAGAGAAUCAAACAGAAAUGGCCUAGGGAGUCCCUUCGUGGCUCCCCAGUUAACAAUCUGACUGGAUCAUGAGGAUGCAGGUUCAAUCCCCGGCCUCUAUCAGUGGGUGAAGGAUCUAGUGCUACCAUGAGCUGUGCUGUGGUGUAGGCUGGCAAACGCAGCUCCAGUUGGACGCCUAGCCCGGGAACUUCCAUAUGCUGUGGGUGCAGCCCUAAAAAGCAAAAACAAACAAAAAAAAUGAAACAAAACAAAACAAAAAAUCCACAAAAAAAAUCAGAAAUGGCCUAAACAAAGAAGAAAACGUGUUAUCCCAUACUACAAGAAGUUUGGGGGUUGAGUGGUUAAACGCAUGAUUAGUUUAGAAACUUGACAGCACCACCCAGGACCCAUUUUCCCUAAGGCGGCUGCUGCCCCCCACCCUGUAGGCUUAGCCACCGCAGCAAAGACACCCCCCUUCCCCAACCAGAGCCCUGCGUCAGGACUGGAAGGGGCCUCCUUCCCUCCAUCCCCUUCCAGAACCUCCGCAGAAGACUCCCCUUGACGUCUCAUUCCAUCCCAUACUGGUCACUUGGCAGGGGGAACGGAUUUACCAUGGUGGCCAGAGACAAAUUAAGUCGCCUCUGGAUCAUGAAGAGCCCCCAUCUCUGGAGAACACUUGACCACUCAGUACCCAGCAACUCGGGUACUCCUGGCAAGAAAGAGACAGGUGAUACCCACUGGGUCCUGUCCACAGCGCCUGCCCCCAGCAACCUGUCUACCUGGAAAACUGAGGGGGUGCCACGCGGGUCUGUGUCUUCUCUGUAGUUUGCCCGAGUCUUUCCCAUUAGGUGGAAUCUGAAAAGUACAGCACACCACAACAACAGAAAAGAAACCGGAGUUCCUGUCAUGGCACAGCGGAAAUGAAUCCGUAGGAACCAUGAAGUUGCAGCUUCGAUCCCUGGCCUCCUCAGUGGGCUAAAGAUCUGGCGUUGCCGUGAGCUGUGGUGUAGGUCACAGACACGGCUCGGAUCUGGUGUGGUUAUGGCUGUGGCUGUGGCCAGCAGCAAUUUAAAAAAAGGCAAGAGAUGGUAGUCACAGCGGAGCCAUGUUGCACAUCAUAGCCAUUGUUUCUUUAUCACACAGUUUUUGUUUCCUCUAAUGUUAAUAAUCAACUCCUACCGAUGUUUGUUUCGUUUUCUUUAGACCUGUCACUCAUCGCACCAAGAUUCCCAAUGGAACGAUGAAAAUUCGUUUCAUUUGGCAGAUGUGGCAGGUAAUUCUUGUCUAUCUUGGCCCCAAAAGUCCAGUUGAUUUUCAAUGUGUAAAUUUUGUUUUUCUUUUGUCUUUAUGAACUUGGGGUCAUGCCGAAUACACCGUUUCUUCAUAAGUGACUCUUUUACUAAGUGAUGCCAUGAACCUCCUUGAUGACUGGAGCAGCCUGUGCAAUGAACGCACGAUAUUCUACUGCCUGAACACUCCACAGGCCCUUCAACACGCUUAUGCAUUUUUCAGGUUUUCCACUUUUAUAAACAAUCCUGAGAUUCACACUCUCAAAGCUCAAUUUUGGCUAAUUAUUUCCUAAGAUAAGUUCCAAGUGUAGAAUUACUGAAUCAACUGACAUAUUGGAUGCAUAUGUUCUUUCAGAAAUAGUGCUGAAUUCGAGACAUGUUGCCACUUCUGGGCUGUAUCAUUUGAAACGUGUUCAUCAGUUUUAAGUGUUGUCUAUUGUAAUGCCGACUCUUUUCUGCAGCAGUUCUUUAACAGCGAGGUUGUGUGUGUUUUCAUAUGCCCACUCGAUAUUUGGAUUUUGGAUUUUAUAAACUGACUGCCUGAUUAGAUCCAUUGUUCAUUUCACUCUUAGGCAAUCUAGUCCCUGCUGCCCCUUUACGUAACCGUCCCCACUUGAGUUUGGAAUUGUCGCCUUGUCGGACGUAUUCUUUGCAGUCUGGCUCUUUCAGGCCUUUUCUCCUGCCGUUUUCAUGAUGCAUUUAGCCAUCCACCCAGUCAAGCAUCUCUCUAAGGUUUGUGGAGCACUGUCGCAAUCUUCAAGGAACUCCCGAGCACAGUAGAACAGAGCACCGCCACGGCUCUUCGGGAAUAUACAUCUUAGAAGAGAGGCCAUGUCUGAAACAGAGAAGCAAAACCAAAAUACCAGAUAGGAAGUGUUAGAGAGAGGUUAGAGCUAGCCGCUAUACGAGGGGACAGUGGGGGCGGGAGGCUCCCUUGGAGGCAGCAGUUGAGGACGACGUCUCUGCGGAUGUGACACUUAGUCUAGGACCUCCGAACGACACCAGAGAGCCAGCCAUCGACAGACCACGGUUCCAGGAAGAGGAAACAGCAAAGGCAAAGCUCUGCCUCCCACUGCUUUGAAAUAUAACCAUGCUUGAAGUCUGUAGAUGGAAAGAAGGGAGAGCAGCCCGCUGUCUUCAUGAGAUGGGAAGGCAAUUUUAGGACAGAAAGAGGAAUGGAAAGUAAGGCAGACUGAAAUGAGACUGCUGACAGAAUCAGAGUGCACGUGAAAGGGAACGGGCAUGUCAACACAGAAUUUUCAGCGGCAUCGAAAGUAAACUGAAGAGGCUGCAACCUGGCUGCCGACGCAACGCAGAAGCACUUGCCCCACGUUCCCGUGGUUCCCUCCCUCCCGUGUUCCUUCAUUUCGGUACAUCUGCCUGUCUGCUU
rnacentral:lncRNA from 1 species